rnacentral:rRNA from 1 species
AGAACGAACGUUAGCGGCGCGCCUAAUACAUGCAAGUCGUGCGAGAAAGGGCUUCGGCCCUGGUACAGCGGCGCACGGGUGAGUAACACGUAGGUAAUCUUCCCUCGAAUGGUGGAUAACCCUCCGAAAGGAGAGCUAAUACAGCAUAAGACCACGACCUCGUUGAGGUUGCGGCCAAAGCAGGCCUCUACUUGUAAGCUUGCGUUUGAGGAUGAGCCUGCGGCCCAUCAGCUAGUUGGUAGGGUAAUGGCCUACCAAGGCAAAGACGGGUAGCUGGUCUGAGAGGAUGAACAGCCACACUGGAACUGAGACACGGUCAGACUCCUACGGGAGCAGCAGUAGGGAAUCUUGCGC